rnacentral:lncRNA from 1 species
AUGACAUCACUUCGGAGACCCGCUCUGGAACUCUGCUCCGGGUUCUGGAAACAAGGCUCCAACACCACCACAGAGGCCUCGGACCUCAUCUCCUCUGGUCCACAUCGUCAGCGAGGGUUGAAGCAGGGACCAGAGUCGUGAGGGGGCGCAGGUCUGUACAUUCACCUGCUGUGUGUCUGUCGGGGGCGGCUCCAGCCUGGGGGAGACUCCUCAGUGUCAGGCUGCCAGCCCCCCCCCCUCUCUGAGGCGUCACCUUGCCACUGCCAGGCCUCUGCUGCAGGGGACAGCAGAGCCCCUGCACUAUGAAGGAAUCAAAUCGUUAUACAACUCAUCUAAUCAGAUUUACCACCACAAACAGGAGUUUAUGACCAGGAUUGGAGGCCACAACUCAACUAACAUCACAUGACGUGACCCCAAAUGACAACAGAAGAGAAGAAUCAAACAUGACAGGAAGUGAAACGACACGGGGCAAUGACAUGUCACAAAAAGAACAAGUGACACAAACUGAAGCAGACACGAGGUGAAGUGUCACGCAGCAAAAUCUCUCUACAUGAUAUUAAAUCACUCAAGACAUGAAAUACAAACAUCACAAGUGACAUCACAAGUGACAUCACGGCACAAUAUUUGCCAUGUGUCAUCUGAUGUGGUCUUCACCUCGCAGGCCCGGAGGCUCCGAGGCUCUGGAGGAGAGCCGGGUGUCGGCCGGGGGCCGAGGUCCUGGUGGAAGCAGAGUGAAGUCUGUGCUCUCAGGAAACUUCCUCCUGUGCUUUGUGUGGACGCACACGCUGUCACCUGCAGCUCCGUGUGUCCUCCUGUCUGGGUGUGUCCUACUGUCCGUCACCUCACGUCCUACACAGUCACCUGCAGCUCGGUGUGUCCUCCUGUCCGUCACCUCACGUCCAACACAGUCACCUGCAGCUCCGUGUGUCCUCCUAUCCGUCACCUCCACGUCCAACACAGUCACCUGCAGCUCCGUGUGUACUCCUAUCCGUCACCUCACGUCCAACACAGUCACCUGCAGCUCCGUGUGUCCUCCUGUCCGUC